GGGCGUGUAGCUCAGUUGGUUAGAGUACUUGCUCGACACGCAAGGGGUCACAGGUUCGAAUCCUGUCACGCCCACCA
rnacentral:tRNA from 3 species